rnacentral:rRNA from 1 species
UGGCUCAGGACGAACGCUGGCGGCGUGCUUAACACAUGCAAGUCGAGCGAGGCCCUCCUUCGGGGGGUGCCCUAGCGGCGAACGGGUGAGUAACACGUGGGCAACCUGCCCUCAGCUCUGGGAUAACUCCAAGAAAUUGGUGCUAAUACCGGAUGUGACCGCUGACCGCAUGGUCUGGUGGUGGAAAGAUUCAUCGGCUGAGGAUGGGCCCGCGGCCUAUCAGCUUGUUGGUGGGGUAAUGGCCUACCAAGGCGACGACGGGUAGCCGGCCUGAGAGGGUGACGGCCCACACUGGGACUGAGACACGGCCCAGACUCCUACGGGAGGCAGCAGUGGGGAAUAUUGCGCAAUGGGCGAAAGCCUGACGCAGCGACGCCGCGUGAGGGAUGACGGCCUUCGGGUUGUAAACCUCUUUCAGUAGGGACGAAGCGCAAGUGACGGUACCUACAGAAGAAG